GAAAAUGAGAGAGAGGCAGACAGACAGAUGAGAUGGACAAAGACACACAGACACAGAGAGAGAGAGAGAGAGAGAGAGAGUGUGUGUGUGUGCGCGUGUGAGACCACAGGCUCCGCACACGGUGGAUGUGCGGGAACAUGAGCGGUGUGUUUCCACUUCCCGGCUCCUCAAGCUGCUUUUAAACAACGACUCAACUGUCAUGUUCAUAACGCGUUUAUUUUAUUUUAAUUAUUGCUUCUAUUAUUUCCCUGUUCCUUGCUGAGAAAAAAAGAAAAAACUCGCGAACGUGGAAAGUGUCCGAUAGAACCAUCAUGUUCAGCGAGUUUGUCUUUUUAUGCGUCCUGAAAUCUCGUGGAUGAUCGAUCCUGCGCACCGCCACAGGUAAAUAAUCUCAGAAUAUUUUGCAGUCUUCCACAACAAUGUCUGUCUUUAAUUCGAGAGGGAUCAUCUUUGCUCUCGCCUUCAUCCUUGGCAGUGGACACUUUCUGAAGAUGUACGUCCCGUUGGCUUCGCACUCAGUGGGACAGAGAUGGAUUGAUGGCUCUGCCCUGUCUGGAGUGUUUCUCUGUGCAACAUUAAUCAGGAUUAGCUCCUCUGACACACAUGGACAUGGCCUCAGAUAAUUCCUUUCUUUCUUUUGAAAAGAGUUUUAAAACCAAACAAAUUUCAGAAAGAAACACGUGUUUUUUAUUA
rnacentral:lncRNA from 1 species